rnacentral:rRNA from 1 species
CAAUAGCGUAUAUUAAAGUUGUUGCAGUUAAAAAGCUCGUAGUUGGAUUUCGGGACGGGCCAGUUGGUCCGCCGCAAGGUGUGUUACUGACUGGUCUGUUCUUCUUCGCAAAGACUGCGUGUGCUCUUCGUUGAGUGUGCGUAGGAUUUACGACGUUUACUUUGAAAAAAUUAGAGUGUUCAAAGCAGGCUAUCGCUUGAAUACAUGAGCAUGGAAUAAUGGAAUAGGACUUUGGUCCUAUUUUGUUGGUUUCUAGGACCGAAGUAAUGAUUAAGAGGGACAAUUGGGGGCAUCCGUAUUUCGUUGUCAGAGGUGAAAUUCUUGGAUUUACGAAAGACGAACAACCGCGAAAGCACUUGCCAAGAGUGUUUUCAUUAA